CCCGUCCGGUCCGACCAGAAAUCGACUACCCGUAUCUGGUAUACUUGGAAAGUCGGUUUGAGGAACUGGUGUGUGGCGGUACUCUAAUAACACCCUGGCACGUUCUCACGACCGCUCACUGUACGACGAGGAUGACCGAAAUCGUGGUAACCGUUACAGCACAUCAUAGACAACACGCAGACGCAAGACUCGUUUACAUUCAUCCAGAUUUUGACUCGUACAACCAGACCGCGGACAUCAGCAUCGUAGUUUUACGCGAACCGUUAAACGUGAUUAGGUACGUACAGCUGCCAGAUAUUAUCAGUGACCCGAUCAACGACAACUCCACUACCAAAGCGCUGAAUUGCGUGGUGGUGGCGAGAAGAUGGAUGACACCCUAUUAUUACAUG